UACAGAGGGUGCGAGCGUUAAUCGGAAUUACUGGGCGUAAAGCGCGCGUAGGCGGCUUUGCAAGUCGGGUGUGAAAUCCCCAGGCUUAACCUGGGAACUGCAUUCGAGACUGCAUUGCUAGAGUAUGGGAGAGGGAAGUGGAAUUUCCGGUGUAGCGGUGAAAUGCGUAGAUAUCGGAAGGAACAUCAGUGGCGAAAGCGACUUCCUGGACCAUUACUGACGCUGAGGAGCGAAAGCGUGGGGAGCGAACAGG
rnacentral:rRNA from 1 species